UACGUAGGGUGCAAGCGUUGUUCGGAAUUACUGGGCGUAAAGGGCGCGUAGGCGGCCGUUUGCGUCGGAUGUGAAAGCCCGGGGCUCAACUCCGGAAUUGCCUUUAAGACUGCAUCGCUAGAAUUGUGGAGAGGUAAGUGGAAUUCCGAGUGUAGAGGUGAAAUUCGUAGAUAUUCGGAAGAACACCAGUGGCGAAGGCGACUUACUGGACACAUAUUGACGCUGAGGUGCGAAAGCGUGGGGAGCAAACAGG
rnacentral:rRNA from 1 species